ACAUAAACCAAGCAAUCUGCUGGUUGUUUGAAUGUAGAAUGUUCUGUUUUGUUUAUUGGCCACAGGGGCAACAAUCUCAUCGUGCUGAUGGCAGGAUUCUGUUUUCAUGCAUUUGCUGUGAGAUGACAAUGAGCUUCCGCCUCUCAGUGUUUAGAUCUGCUUCAUUUGGAAAUCUUUUAAGUAGUAAUAAUAAUAAUGUUUUGAGGAAAUUGAGUGGAACACUAAAUUAUUCGCUGAUACCUAAGUUCAAACUGUGCAAGGCUAAAGAAGCUAGAAAAUCAAUGCACUUUUAAAGUCAUUAGAGAUCAUAAAUGAAAUAAGUCUGCAUUGCUUUAGCUAAGCUUUUAGUGUGCUGUGGUAUUAUUAUAAAAUCAGCCUAAAUCUGCAUUAAUUUCACAGCCUUUUUCUCUAACAAGCCCAAGGGUACAUGAUGAAUAAAAUGUAAAUUUCACAAGGCAGUGUUUUUAUUGUACAAAGAGCAAUGAGCCAAGUACUUCAAGUGGUGGCCUGCAUGGUGGCCAAUGCUGCCAUCUGAAGCAGGAAUCCAUAGCUAUGGAUGCUAGCUAUCUUACAGCACUAGAUAAAAUAAACACAGGAAGCUUUAUAGAUCUCGUAGAUGUUCAGAGAAAUGUACAUUGUCUUGUGUGUGUUAAACUUUAGGUCAAAUCUCUCAUUCCUUUCAGAAAAGUUACAACUUCCAAAGUCAUGAGAAUUUUGUACAAAUUACAGUUUUUGUAAUUUAUUUCAUAUGCACUGUUGAUUUUUUCUCAGAGUAAUAGUUUGUUUUAAUAAUUAGUAAUUACUGCUUUGUAAUAGAUUUGGUAUAUUUGUUUACAUUUGAAUAGCAUCAAUUUAUAUUUAUAUGUUUUUAACUCUCCAAGAUGAAUUAGAUAUAUUUAUUUGUUAACAUUUUGAGCUCUUGAAAUUUAUUUGCUAAUUUGCCCUUGGUAUGAUGAAUUCUUUAUUUCGUAAAAUUCAGUGAUGCAUUUUGAAAUACAAAGUCAUAUGUACAGUGUAUGCAUGCUGUCAAUGUAGAGAGCAUCAGCCAAGGAGGAGAUAUAAAGUAGCCCACUUUUAACUUAGAAAAUGGAAGUUACCUUUUGCUACUUUCAAACCUUUUGGGAAAAAAAAAAUGUAACGUUCUCCCUAGUUCCCU
rnacentral:lncRNA from 1 species